UAAAUGGCUCUUUUUAGAGCCAUUUUUUAUUUUGUUUACUUAUUUUU
rfam:Polaribacter sp. KT25b genome assembly, chromosome: I